CCUACGGGAGGCAGCAGUGGGGAAUCUUGCGCAAUGGGCGAAAGCCUGACGCAGCAACGCCGCGUGCGGGAAGAAGGCUUUCGGGCUGUAAACCGCUUUCAGCAGGAACGAAAAUGACGGUACCUGCAGAAGAAGGAGCGGCCAACUAUGUGCCAGCAGCCGCGGUGAUACAUAGGCUUCAAGCGUUGUCCGGAUUUAUUGGGCGUAAAGAGUUCGUAGGCGGUCGAGUAAGUCGGGUGUGAAAAUUCUGGGCUCAACCCAGAGACGCCACCCGAUACUGCUUGACUUGAGUUCGAUAGGGGAGUGGGGAAUUCCUAGUGUAGCGGUGAAAUGCGCAGAUAUUAGGAGGAACACCGGUGGCGAAGGCGCCACUCUGGAUCGAUACUGACGCUGAGGAACGAAAGCAUGGGUAGCAAACAGGAUUAGAUACCCUGGUAGUCCAUGCCGUAAACGGUGGGCACUAGGUGUGGGUUUCUAUUAACGAAAUCCGCGCCGUCGCUAACGCAUUAAGUGCCCGCCUGGGGAGUACGGUCGCAAGACUAAAACUCAAAGGAAUUGACGGCNGAGACGNGCGACGACGACGACGAGGAGAGG
rnacentral:rRNA from 1 species